CCAAGACCCUGUGUAACUUGCUAUCCUCCCCAAAACAUGAAGAACAAAGUGGUCCAGAGAGUUACACAGGUUAGGGCAGUGUAGUGUGCUUCUAUUUGGAUUCUGCUGCACUCAUUCUGAAUAGAUUUCAAUUUGAAACAUGACCUUUAAGUACCUGAUACAAAAACUAGAAGACCAAAACAGGAAGGAGAGUUCGUUUUAGUUUUAAACCCUAGUUUUCUAAGCAAUUUAGAGAGAAUCUACAUCAAGG
rnacentral:misc_RNA from 1 species